AAUGAACGUUGGCGGCGUGGAUUAGGCAUGCAAGUCGAGCGAGAAAUUUUAAAAAGAUACUUCGGUUGAUUUUUAAAAUGGACAGCGGCGAAAGGGAGAGUAACGAGUAGAUAACGUACCCGAGGGUUCGGGAUAGCCAUGCGAAAGCGUGAGUAAUACCGAAUAAUGUUUCCGAACCAAAGAUUUAUUGCCCUCGGAGCGGUCUGCUUACUAUUAGCUAGUUGGUGGGGUAAUGGCCUACCAAGGCAAAGAUGGUUAGCGGGUGUGAGAGCAUGGCCCGUCUCACUGGGACUGAGACACUGCCCAGACAGCUACGGUUGGCUGCAGUCGAGAAUCUUCCGCAAUGGACGAAAGUCUGACGGAGCGACGCCGCGUGUUGGAUGAAGGCCUUCGGGUUGUAAACAACUGUCGUAGGGGAGGAAAUUUUGACCGAUCCUAGGAGGAAGCGCAGGCUAAGUUCG
rnacentral:rRNA from 1 species